rnacentral:rRNA from 1 species
AUUGAACGCUGGCGGCAUGCCUUACACAUGCAAGUCGAACGGCAGCACGGGAGCAAUCCUGGUGGCGAGUGGCGAACGGGUGAGUAAUAUAUCGGAACGUGCCCAGUCGUGGGGAUAACGUAGCGAAAGCUACGCUAAUACCGCAUACGAUCUAAGGAUGAAAGCGGGGGAUCGCAAGACCUCGCGCGAUUGGAGCGGCCGAUAUCAGAUUAGCUAGUUGGUGAGGUAAAGGCUCACCAAGGCGACGAUCUGUAGCUGGUCUGAGAGGACGACCAGCCACACUGGGACUGAGACACGGCCCAGACUCCUACGGGAGGCAGCAGUGGGGAAUUUUGGACAAUGGGCGCAAGCCUGAUCCAGCAAUGCCGCGUGCAGGAUGAAGGCCCUUCGGUUGUAAACUGCUUUGUACGGUAACGAAACGGUGAGCUCUAAUACAGCUUGCUAAUGACGGUACCGUAAGAAUAAGACACCGGCUAAC